rnacentral:misc_RNA from 1 species
GAAGUCUAGUGCUGGCUAGAAUUGAAUGGACAUUCUGAGGCACCAUUCCAUAUCUCCAACCUCUAAGUUAAGAUUUGAACCUUGGGCUUAUGUCAACUCCAAAAGCUAGCUCAUGCGGUCAGGAUUGUUAAUGAGGCACACAAACCCUACCCACACCGAUGUGAGACUCUAACACCCCCUAUACACCCAGGAUUGGACAAUUAGAGCGUGGUAACAUGGGAGCCAAGUUCAGGUAAAUGAAGUCUCUGAUACCAUGUGAAAAGAAAUGGUGGUGUCCGUGCUCUCUUGAUAACAGUGGUGACCAGGCCAUCUUGCUCGUGCCUCAAAUACUUCACCAAGUAUCUGCUACCUCCACCAGCGCAGGCUCACGGUCAAUAGGAAAAGCAAGCUUUUAGCUACUUCUGAUAGGCUGAGCAUCCUCGGAUUGAAGAUACCUUACGUCAGGAAGGGGCUGAGGAAAAUCAAGCUUCUGGACACUUCUAAUAGGAAUAGCAAGCUUUUGGACUUCUAAUUUACGGGUGGGAACUGGGCAUUUUCUGCUGGCUCCAAGGUUGGGAGGAUCACAAAUAAUAAUGAUCUGAAGUGAUUUUUCACUCUGGCGAUGCAGUUGCAAUAACAAUUAAGCUGAGCCGGUGCUUAAAGGUAAACUCUUGGACUGAAAUGUGUCCAACUAGAAUGGAGUCAACGUAGAAGAUUUAUGUAAUCGAUCUCAAUUGGUUUGACAUA